CAGCAGCCACGGGAACACAGAGGGUGCAAGCGUUAAUCGGAUUUACUGGGCGUAAAGGGCGCGUAGGUGGUUAUUUAAGUGAGAUGUGAAAUCCCCGGGCUUAACCUGGGAACUGCAUCUUAUACUGGGUAACUGGAGUGCAGUAGAGGGUAGUGGAAUUUCCGGUGUAGCGGUGAAAUGCGUAGAGAUCGGGAGGAACAUCAGUGGCGAAGGCGGCCAUCUGGGACAACACUGACGCUGAGGCACGAAAGCGUGGGGAGCAAACAGGAUUAGAUACCCCCGUAGUCCCUGUCUCUUAUAC
rnacentral:rRNA from 1 species